rfam:Gossypium raimondii Chr12_contig_309, whole genome shotgun sequence.
AAUAGGAGAAUGACAAAUCAAAUUUUUCUUCUGAUUUUUAGCUUUUUCAGUUGUAUUUGAAAUUUUCAUGAGGAAAAAGCUGAGAAUUAGGAGGAAAAAACUGAAAAUCAGGAGGAAGAAUUUGAUUUGUCAUCCUCCUAUU